rnacentral:snRNA from 1 species
AUGGCUUUAGCAGCACAUAUACUAAAAAAAUUGGAACAAUACAGAGAAGAUUAGUAUGGUCCCUGCGCAAGGAUGACAUGCAAAUUCAUGAAGCAUUCCAUUUUUUU